rnacentral:rRNA from 1 species
GGGGGAGGGGGCUGCCUUCCAUGCAAGUCGAACGGCAGCACGGGUGCUUGCACCUGGUGGCGAGUGGCGAACGGGUGAGUAAUACAUCGGAACAUGUCCUGUAGUGGGGGAUAGCCCGGCGAAAGCCGGAUUAAUACCGCAUACGAUCUACGGAUGAAAGCGGGGGACCUUCGGGCCUCGCGCUAUAGGGUUGGCCGAUGGCUGAUUAGCUAGUUGGUGGGGUAAAGGCCUACCAAGGCGACGAUCAGUAGCUGGUCUGAGAGGACGACCAGCCACACUGGGACUGAGACACGGCCCAGACUCCUACGGGAGGCAGCAGUGGGGAAUUUUGGACAAUGGGCGAAAGCCUGAUCCAGCAAUGCCGCGUGUGUGAAGAAGGCCUUCGGGUUGUAAAGCACUUUUGUCCGGAAAGAAAUCCUUGGCUCUAAUACAGCCGGGGGAUGACGGUACCGGAAGAAUAAGCACCGGCUAACUACGUGCCAGCAGCCGCGGUAAUACGUAGGGUGCGAGCGUUAAUCGGAAUUACUGGGCGUAAAGCGUGCGCAGGCGGUUUGCUAAGACCGAUGUGAAAUCCCCGGGCUCAACCUGGGAACUGCAUUGGUGACUGGCAGGCUAGAGUAUGGCAGAGGGGGGUAGAAUUCCACGUGUAGCAGUGAAAUGCAUAGAGAUGUGGAGGAAUACCGAUGGNNAAGGCAGCCCCCUGGGCCAAUACUGACGCUCAUGC